UACGAAGGGGGCUAGCGUUGUUCGGAAUUACUGGGCGUAAAGCGUGCGCAGGCGGCUUCUCAAGUCAGGGGUGAAAGCCCAGAGCUCAACUCUGGAAUUGCCUUUGAGACUGAGUGGCUUGAGUACGAGAGAGGUGAGUGGAAUUCCCAGUGUAGAGGUGAAAUUCGUAGAUAUUGGGAAGAACACCGGUGGCGAAGGCGGCCAACUGGACGAACACUGACGCUGAGACUCGAAAGCGUGGGGAGCAAACAGG
rnacentral:rRNA from 1 species